AGAGUUUGAUCAUGGCUCAGAUUGAACGCUGGCGGUAGGCUUAACACAUGCAAGUCGUGCGAGAAAGUAUCUUCGGAUAUGAGUAGAGCGGCGGACGGGUGAGUAACGCGUAGGAAUCUACCUAGUAGAAGGGGAUAGCCCGGGGAAACCCGGAUUAAUACCGUAUACCUCCUUCGGGAGAAAGAAGGCCUCUCUUUGAAGCUUUCGCUACUAGAUGAGCCUGCGUAAGAUUAGCUUGUUGGUGAGGUAAAGGCUCACCAAGGCGACGAUCUUUAGCUGGUCUGAGAGGACGAUCAGCCACAUUGGGACUGAGACACGGCCCAGACUCCUACGGGAGGCAGCAGUGGGGAAUAUUGGACAAUGGGCGCAAGCCUGAUCCAGCCAUACCGCGUGUGUGAAGAAGGCCUUCGGGUUGUAAAGCACUUUAAGCAGGGAGAAAAAGUUAUAAGUUAAUACCUUAUAACCCUGAUGUUACCUGCAGAAUAAGCACCGGCUAAUUCCGUGCCAGCAGCCGCGGUAAUACGGAAGGUGCAAGCGUUAAUCGGAAUUACUGGGCGUAAAGCGCGCGUAGGUGGUUUGUUAAGUUGGAUGUGAAAGCCCUGGGCUCAACCUAGGAACUGCAUCCAAAACUAACUCACUAGAGUACGAUA
rnacentral:rRNA from 1 species